CACGGCACAAUAUAUGGGUCGC
rnacentral:miRNA from 1 species